rnacentral:rRNA from 1 species
GACGAACGCUGGCGGCGUGCUUAACACAUGCAAGUCGAACGGAAAGGCCCUGCUUUUGUGGGGUGCUCGAGUGGCGAACGGGUGAGUAACACGUGAGUAACCUGCCCUUGACUUUGGGAUAACUUCAGGAAACUGGGGCUAAUACCGGAUAGGAGCUCCUGCUGCAUGGUGUGGGUUGGAAAGUUUCGGCGGUUGGGGAUGGACUCGCGGCUUAUCAGCUUGUUGGUGGGGUAGUGGCUUACCAAGGCUUUGGCGGGUAGCCGGCCUGAGAGGGUGACCGGCCACAUUGGGACUGAGAUACGGCCCAGACUCCUACGGGAGGCAGCAGUGGGGAAUAUUGCACAAUGGGCGGAAGCCUGAUGCAGCAACGCCGCGUGCGGGAUGACGGCCUUCGGGUUGUAAACCGCUUUCGCCUGUGACGAAGCGUGAGUGACGGUAAUGGGUAAAGAAGCACCGGCUAACUACGUG